UACGUAGGGUGCAAGCGUUGUCCGGAAUUAUUGGGCGUAAAGAGCUCGUAGGCGGUCUGUCGCGUCGGCUGUGAAAACCCGGAGCUCAACUCCGGGCCUGCAGUCGAUACGGGCAAACUGGAGUGUUGCAGGGGAGACUGGAAUUCCUGGUGUAGCGGUGAAAAUGCGCAGAUAUCAGGAGGAACACCGAUGGCGAAGGCAGGUCUCUGGGCCACUACUGACGUGAGAAGCGAAAGCAUGGGGAGCGAACAGG
rnacentral:rRNA from 1 species